CAAAUAUACAUUUUGCAGAGGUCGCUAGUGUCGCUUCAAAACGCGCUGUCAAAAAUUUUAAACAAAACCUUGUGUGUUGCCUAGCAUAUCUACGUUAAUGACACUAAUAAAAAAGUUUUCUCUUGGGUUUGCCACGUUCACCACCAGAAAUUACCAGAACCACUUCAAUAAAAGAAACAAAAAAGAAGACAGCCAAAAGCAGUGAAAAAUCAAGCGAAUCAAAAACCGUAAAGCAAACAUCCAAAAAAACUUUGAAAAGGUCAAAUGAUACAAAAUCAGAUACCGAAGAACCACCUUUGCCUGAAUAUGCCAUUGAAGUGGGAAAUCCCACAGGUUUUUUUCACAUUGAGUACAAGUUGUUUCCUGAUAUGGAAUCAGUUCACAUCGAUGUGCUUCAUUGGGACGUGAUUUCAAAAAUUUAUUUUGAAUCUAAAAACCUCAUUUAUAAAAAUAUGAUUCGUGAGAAUACGAUUUGGAUUCCAAUUAUGUUGCAAUAUAAAAUUAUGGAGCCAUUGGAAGCAGAAACUUUGUUGAAGUUAAAAAACUUUGUGGUAGAAAUUGUUAUCUCACAAAACACGAAGAAAAUGAGCAAUGACGCAAAGAAUGAAAAAACAAAAAUAUUUUAUAUUAAAAAAGAAGAUAUUACUAACGAAUGCUAUGUGGAAGCAUUUGAAAAUGAUCCCUAUUCGAAAGAACAAAUAGUCAGGCGGUCAAUGUUACCACUUAUUUCAAAAAAAUACGUGCGAUUUAGUAUGAAACCAAUAUAUUCAAUUACGAAACCUCUUGAUGUUAGUUUAUUACAUUCUCGAUUCCAGAAAAUUAUAAAAAGUUAGAAAAGGCGAAACAAUUAAUUGUAAACAAUAUGUCCCUCCUGCUCCUUCACCACUACCAGAAGAAUAUAAUGUGGAACCAGCCGAAAAUGAUGUUAAUAAUUACACCUUUGAUAAUUCAAAACAAAACAAAAUAGAAAAUAAUGAUAAAAACGAGAAAAAUAAUACAAAACCUGGUAGAACCAGUACUAAAAAAUCACAAAAAGUAAAUAAAAACACUGAGCAAAAAAUGAAACAGGAAGGCAAAAUCCAAGUCUCCGGAGAAUGUUACUUAACUGAUGCUGCACUAUGCACUUUAAGAUUGAAUGAGUCAGUUGAAAACAUCAGCGAUUUCUUCGUUAUCUUAUCAACAUCAAACCUGACAACGCCACAACUGUUGAGUUCACUGCGACCCAUCGUUAUUAAGUUGAAAUCCUUGAGAAACUUUCCGGUCGAUUACUUGAUCGAACAAAAAUUCUCUUCAGUUUACCUGCAAUAUAACAUACCAAACAUAGCAAGACAUGAAACCCAGCCAAUAAUUCUGAAAGACAUUAAAGAUGGCAAAAAAAUUCACGUAAAUGAAGCGCAUAUUUUCUUUGAUGUACCUCUCUCAGACUUCUCAUCAUUUGUAAUCGAUAAUAGACUAUUCGUUGAGUUAAUUGGUGUUUAUAAUGACGAACCAGACCUAACUCCAUCAUUAUUUGGCACACAAAGAAGCGAUUUCGUCCGAAUUCCCCACGUCCUUCGAAAUUAAUCUACACCAAACCAAAAUCGCUUGUUUUAGCGGUUGCAUGUUACGAUCUCUCUCUAUUUAUUUACUCCAGAAU